rnacentral:lncRNA from 1 species
AUGGACAUAACUUUCAAAAUAUUUAGAAUAUUUUAUUAAUUUUGGUAUCAAAUGAAAGCUGCAUGACUGGUGAUCAUUGCAGAACAAUUUUUGACUGAUAAAUUUGAAUAAUAAAAAAAUGGCAUGAAAUUUAACUAGAGGCUCUAAAGAGCCUGUGUCGCUCACCUUGGUCUAUGUGCAUAUUAAAAAAAGGACACAAAUGGAUUCAUGACAAAAUUGUAUUUUGGUGAUGGUGAUGUGUUUGAAGUUCUUACUUUACUGGACGAUUUUGCUUCUUACAAUUAUAUCUAUAAUGAACUUUGCCCAUUAGUAACAGAGAACUAUAUUUGGUAAAAAUUUAAAUUACAUAUAUUUACCAAAUUAAUGAAAAUUGUUAAAAAUUGACUAUAAAGGGCAAUAACUCCUUAAGGGGUCAAUUGACCAUUUAGGUCAUGUUGACUUAUUUGUAGAUCUUACUUUGCUGAACAUUAUUGCUGUUUACAGUUUAUCUCUAUCUAUAAUAAUAUUCAAGAUAAUAACCAAAAACAGCAAAAUUUCCUCAAAAUUACCAAUUCAGGGGCAGUAACCCAACAACCGAUUGACUGAUUCAUCUGAAAAUUUCAGGGCAGAUAGAUCUUGACCUGAUAAACAUUUUUAUCCCGUCAGAUUUCCUCAAAAUGCUUUGGUUUUUGAGUUAUAAGCCAAAAACUGCAUUUUACCCCUUUGUUCUAUUUUUAGCCGUGGCGGCCAUCUUGGUUGGUUGACCAGGUCACGCCACACAUUUCUUAAACUAGAUACCCC